UACAGAGGUCCCGAGCGUUGUUCGGAUUCAUUGGGCGUAAAGGGUGCGUAGGCGGCGGGGUAAGUCUGAUGUGAAAUCCCGGGGCUCAACCCCGGAACUGCAUUGGAUACUGCUUUGCUAGAGUACUGGAGAGGAAACUGGAAUUUACGGUGUAGCAGUGAAAUGCGUAGAUAUCGGGAGGAACACCAGUGGCGAAGGCGGCGACCUGGACGGACACUGACGCUGAGACGCGAAAGCGUGGGGAGCAAACAGG
rnacentral:rRNA from 1 species